UUGAGCCGUCAUGCCAUCUUCUUGGAAAAUCAGUUUAUCCUUGAUAGAGGCAGUGGGAGGAAAAUUGAGCUUGAAGAGAAAGUCUCUGAAAAAGCAACGAGUCAUGGAUCCUAUUGAACCCAUUCAUACAAAGCAAGUACACGAUGUCCCUCGACCACCUCGUAGAUCUAGUAGGGUCUCCCAUCCUCCCGAUAGAUACUUAGGUAUACUAGAAGAGAAUACCGAGGAAAUGUUCCUAGUGGGAGAUAGGGAUCACAUACAGGA
rnacentral:lncRNA from 1 species